CGGGAAGGGGGAUGGAGACCCCCGGGAGGGUCCUGGAGACCCCCGGGAGGGUCCCUGAGCCCCAGGAACGAGGUUGGAGACCCCCGGGAGGGUCCCGGAGACCCCCGGGCUGGGGGGCGGCGGCGGCUCAGGGCGCUGCGAGUUUGUCCUCAGGGCGGAUCGGAGCUUUCGAACCGGUUCCUCAUCGCCGCCGCCGCCUUUUUGGGGGGGAUCUCGGGGGUCUUACCGGGGGUCUCAGCGCGGGCACCGCCACCUGUGGAGGGAGGAAAGAAGGGGGGUGAGACCCCGCGGUUUGGGGGGUCCCCGGUGGGUCUGGGGGCGUCGCUCAGGCCUGCGCUGUCCUCAGGGGGGUCGGAGACUCUAGUCCUUGGCAUCAUCACCGCGACGGAGCCCCCCAGAGGGGCCGGGGACCCCAAAGGUGCCGGGAUUUCUGCUCAGAACCCCCCGUUCUCCUUCAGAACCUUCAUUGCCCUUCAGGAUCCCGGAUUUCACCCUAAAAAAACCCUGAUUUCCCUCUCAAAAUCCCAAUUUCCCUUCAGGAUCCCGGAUUUCCCCCUAAAAAACCCUGAUUUCCCUCUCAAAACACCAAUUUCCCUUCAGGAUCCCGGAUUUCACCCUAAAAACCCCCGAUUUCCCUCUCAAAAAUCCCAAUUUCCCUUCAGGAUCCCAGAUUUCCCUCUCAAAAUCCCAAUUUCUCUUCAGGAUCCUGGAUUUCCCCCUCAAAACCCCCAAUUUCCCUUCAGGAUCCUGGAUUUUCCCCUCAAAACCCUCAAUUCCCCCUUAUGACCCUCGAUCCUCCUUUAAAAUCCUUGAUCCCCCUUCAGAACCCCCAAUUCCCCCUUGUAACCCCCAAUUUCCCUUCAAAACCCCCAAUUUCCCUUCAGAACCCCCAAUCCCCCCUUUGUAACCCCCAAUCCCCCCUUUGUAACCCCCAAUUUCCCUUCACGAGCCCCAAUCCCCCCUCACAACCCCGGAUCCUCUUUCAGAACCCCAAAUUUCCCCUCAGAA
rnacentral:lncRNA from 1 species